rnacentral:lncRNA from 1 species
CAAACAAAUCAUUGGGCAGUUACAUGCUUGAUUCAUUUUUGUGAAUCUCCCUUUGCUUCAAUGAUUUUGAUCCCAGGCAGUUUGCUGACGUUACUACUUGCCGUGUUCUGGGUGGCAUCCCUUUGGAGUUGGUUCUGUUGAUGCUUCAGGAAUCAAACUGGGAUUUUUGAUUUGAACUCCUAAUAGGGAAUGCCGUAACAUCCCAUGGAUUUCCUGGCUACCUCCUGCUUCCAAGCAAGUCUGUGAGCUUCGCUACAUCUCUAAUAUCGUUCAGAAGAAGGGAUAGUAAAUGAGUCAAAGAGAAGCAAUACUGGGAACAGCAGUGAUGUUCCCCCAGUGUGACAGUCAAAUAGGUGCAUCUGUACUGUCUUCUACCACCUCAGUGCCCUUUUUGUAGCAACUGGAGAUGCACGGCAAAGUGGAGCCUGGCUGUGCACCAGUGUAAGGGCCAAGCAAGGGAUGAGGAACCGUGUUUGUGUGGUGCCUUGUGGAGGCAGAAGUUGGACUCGAAGAUCCUUAUGGGUCUCUUUCAGCUUGCAGUAUUCUCUGAUUACAUGAUCUGUGGAGGUCAGUGUGUCUAUUAGUCACAUCCUACUUUCAGCAGCCACCUUUCAAUCUGAAAGAAUGGAAGAGAUGUUUACAUUAUGUUCUUGUGUUCCUAUGGGAACUGUUUUUACUGUCCUCAGUUAUAAUCACUGUAACUUUUACAGUUCUCUCUGAGAAAGAUUUGGGCUUUUGCAUCCACCUUACCAAAGUCUUAGGGAUGCAGGAGGCUAAGACACAGACCCAGAGAUCUUCACUCUUCCUUGCACCAUUUUCCAAUCUGAUAUAUCCUGGAGAAACUUUUUUUCUCCUUGGCAAUGGGAAGGGAACAAAACUGAUGAGAUUCAUGAUUUCCAGUGAGACCUUUUCUUGAGCUGAGGCUGCAGAAUGAUUUUCUUCAACACGUUUUUUUUUCUACUAUUUGUAACCUGACUCCAUCCUGUCUUGAACAUGGACCAUAUCAGAGCUGAAGGAGAACAUGCAUCAGCUGUAUGGGUUUUGCCUCCAUGUUUCUGGAGCC